rnacentral:rRNA from 1 species
CCCAGACUCCUACGGGAGGCAGCAGUGAGGAAUAUUGGUCAAUGGGCGGGAGCCUGAACCAGCCAAGCCGCGUGAAGGAAGAAGGCGCCAAGCGUCGUAAACUUCUUUUGUCGGGGAGCAAAAGCCGGACGUGUCCGGCUGUGAGAGUACCCGAAGAAUAAGCAUCGGCUAACUCCGUGCCAGCAGCCGCGGUAAUACGGAGGAUGCGGGCGUUAUCCGGAUUUAUUGGGUUUAAAGGGUGCGUAGGCGGUUUUUUAAGUUAGUGGUUAAACGUCGGGGCUUCACCUUGAUUUGCCAUUAAUACUGUAAGACUCGAGUUCAGACGAGGUAGGCGGAAUAAGUUAAGUAGCGGUGAAAUGCUUAGAUAUAACUUAGAACUCCGAUAGCGAAGGCAGCUUACCAGACUGCGACUGGCGCUGAAGCACGAGAGCGUGGGUAGCGAACAGGAUUAGAUACCCUUGUA